GACGAACGCUGGCGGCGUGCUUAACACAUGCAAGUCGAACGGUGAAGGGGCCUGCUUUUGUGGGCCCUGGAUGAGUGGCGAACGGGUGAGUAACACGUGAGUAACCUGCCCCCUUCUUCUGGAUAACCGCAUGAAAGUGUGGCUAAUACGGGAUAUUCUGGGUCUGUCGCAUGAUGGGUCUGGGAAAGAUUGCGCCUUUGGGUGUUUUUGGUGGGGGAUGGGCUCGCGGCCUAUCAGCUUGUUGGUGGGGUGAUGGCCUACCAAGGCGGUGACGGGUAGCCGGCCUGAGAGGGUGGACGGUCACACUGGGACUGAGACACGGCCCAGACUCCUACGGGAGGCAGCAGUGGGGAAUAUUGCACAAUGGGCGCAAGCCUGAUGCAGCGACGCCGCGUGAGGGAUGGAGGCCUUCGGGGUGUAAACCUCUUUCGCCAGUGAAGCAGGCCUGCUCCUUGUGGGUGGGUUGACGGUAGCUGGAUAAGAAGCGCCGGCUAACUACG
rnacentral:rRNA from 1 species